rnacentral:rRNA from 1 species
GAUGAACGCUGACAGAAUGCUUAACACAUGCAAGUCUUUGGCGAAGCUGUGCUUGCACCGCCUAGCCAAGGCGGACGGGUGAGUAACGCGUAAGGAACUUGCCCUGCAGUCAGGGAUAACAGACGGAAACGACUGAUAAGACCUGGUAAAGUCAGGCGGACUCAUGUCCAGCCUGAUGAAAAGAGAUGCUGCAGGAGAGCCUUGCGUCCUAUUAGCUUGUUGGUGGGGUAACGGCCCACCAAGGCGAUGAUAGGUAGCCGGCCUGAGAGGGUGGACGGCCACAAGGGAACUGGGAUCCGGCCCUUACUCCUCCGGGAGGCAGCAGUGGGGAAUAUUGGACAAUGGGGGCAACCCUGAUCCAGCAUUUCGGUGGGCACGAUGAAGGUUUUCGGAUUGUAAGGUGCUUUCAGCAGGGAAGAAAAAAUGACGGUACCUGCAGAAGAAGCGACGGCUAAAUACGUG